rnacentral:sRNA from 1 species
GGAUGUGAGGGUGAUCUGGCUGUGAUAUCUGUCACCCCAUUGAUCACAAGGGUUGAUUCGACUGAUCUGGCUGGCUAGGCGGGUGUCCCUUCCUCCCUCACCACUCCAUGUGCGUCCCUCCCUAAGCGCUCUGUCAAGAAGAGGAUGACAUCACGUUAUCUGACCUUUUCCGCUUGACUCAUACAUAUACUAGAUUUUGCAUAUAAGGGAAACCAUGGGACCUAUGUUUCUUU